rnacentral:rRNA from 1 species
AUUGAACGCUGGCGGCAGGCCUAACACAUGCAAGUCGGGCGAGUGGCGGACGGGUGAGUAAUGUAUGGGGAACUGCCUGAUGGCGGGGGAUAACUACUGGAAACGGUAGCUAAUACCGCAUACCGGCAGAGGAGCUCAUGUGAGAUUCGCUUGUGGGGGUGGUAACGGCUCACCUAGGCGACGAUCCCUAGCGGGGCUGAGAGGAUGAUCGGCCACACUGGGACUGAGACACGGCCCAGACUCCUACGGGAGGCAGCAGUGGGGAAUAUUCGGCAAUGGGCGAAAGCCUGACGCAGCAAUGCCGCGUGUAUGAAGAAGGUCUUCGGGUUGUAAAAUUCGUUCGUUAGGGAGGCGGUACCUACCCAUGAAGCCACGGCUAACUCCGUGCCAGCAGCCGCGGUAAUAC